GUUGCACUGUGAAUGGGUCAUGGAUCUAGAUUGCUGGCUGAAGACCCGGUCUCUGUCAGAAUUGUAGGCUCUAAUAUCUGUCAACUUCUCAAAAAAGAAAUUAGAAGACUUGUCUUCCUUGUUGUUGUUGGAAGACUCCUUAACAAGACCAGAAAACUGGAG